rnacentral:rRNA from 1 species
AUUGAACGCUGGCGGCAUGCCUUACACAUGCAAGUCGAACGGUAACGGGCCUUCGGGUGCCGACGAGCGGCGAACGGGUGAGUAAUACAUCGGAACGUGCCCGAUCGUGGGGGAUAACGAGGCGAAAGCUUUGCUAAUACCGCAUACGAUCUACGGUUGAAAGCCGGGGACCGCAAGGCCUUGCGCGGACGGAGCGGCCGAUGGCAGAUUAGGUAGUUGGUGGGAUAAAAGUUUACCAAGCCGACGAUCUGUAGCUGGUCUGAGAGGAUGAUCAGCCACACUGGGACUGAGACACGGCCCAGACUCCUACGGGAGGCAGCAGUGGGGAAUUUUGGGCAAUGGGCGGAAGCCUGAUCCAGCCAUGCCGCGUGCGGGAUGAAGGCCUUCGGGUUGUAAACUGCUUUUGUACGGAACGAAAAGCCUUCUUUUAAUACAGGAGGGUCAUGACGGUACCGGAAGAAUAAGCACCGGCUAACUACGUG